CAGUCGCCGCGGUAAUACAGAGGGUGCAAGCGUUAAUCGGAAUUACUGGGCGUAAAGCGCGCGUAGGUGGUUUGUUAAGUUGGAUGUGAAAUCCCCGGGCUCAACCUGGGAACUGCAUCCAAAACUGGCAAGCUAGAGUAUGGUAGAGGGUGGUGGAAUUUCCUGUGUAGCGGUGAAAUGCGUAGAUAUAGGAAGGAACACCAGUGGCGAAGGCGACCACCUGGACUGAUACUGACACUGAGGUGCGAAAGCGUGGGGAGCAAACAGGAUUAGAUACCCCAGUAGUCCCUGUCUCUUAUAA
rnacentral:rRNA from 1 species